AUGAAACAAUCUAACUUAUUAAGGGAUAUUUUCCUAUUUGUUAUUUCACUCUAGUCUGUCCACAGAGACAUAAGUGAAAUUUUCUCAUAAUAAUAUAAAACUAAUAAAAAAUUCUCAGUCUGGUUGUUUUGCAUUGUAGCACUCCUACCUAUAUGAGAAUUUCCGCGCAGAAAAAAGGUACAGCGUCAAAAUCAGAGCAGCUGACACAGGCAUUUGUUUAGUGAGCCCAGGUUGGGGAGAGUGGAGUACACCUGUGGAGUUUGGAAAACAACAAUUUACAUCUACUUCAUCAUAUACUUUAUUUCUGAUACCGGGGCUGGCAGCAAGUCUUGCACUUUUUCUCUGCACAGUAAGGGUUUAUUUGAAAAAAACAUCUGCUACGGUACCACAGCCAAGAGACCCAUUCCAUGAGGCCUGUCCAGUGGAUUUCCAGGCAGAAUAUGAGAAUCUGUUAAUAAACCAUGAAACUGAAGAAAUAAUAGAGAUUGAAGAAGUGAUGUAAUGGAAUGCAAGUGAAACGAGCUACUUGAUAUUUUUCAAGCACAUAUAUCUUGUUGGCAGAAGUUAACAGGCUUUUCAUAUUCUCUUACUCUUGCAAGCAGUGAGAAUAGCAUUGCCUGUAGAGACAAUUCCCCAAGAGCCUAUCUUUAAAAGCCUCUUUGUAUUUGAUUGCAUUUUCCAUAAACAUUUUGGGGUUUUGGACUACUGUUUCUUCUAAUGAUAAAUACUGCAGUGUUUCAGCAAAAAUAUUUCAGUACUGCCUUGGAAGUUAUUAUAAUAUUUUCCAACACCAUUCAAAAGAAGAACAACGAAACUUAAGGGGUUUAUUCAGGAUCUCCAGGGGUUCAGUGUCUUGAAAAAGGUACAGCUGUAUUGAUACUGUGAUCAGGAAUAAAAAUUUGUCAGCUGUAUGAAAACUUACUGAA
rnacentral:lncRNA from 1 species